rnacentral:ncRNA from 1 species
CGAAACGCAUUGAGAGGAAUUAGUAGCGGAAAUCCCAUUCCAAUAGAGAGCCGGUGGCUGGUGGAAACCGGUGGUGGGACCCUGUGAAUCCGUCCUUGAGCAAAAGCAUGGAAAGCCUGCAUGGGCGAGUAAGUGCUUUCGGUUAAAAACCGUUAUGGAUUUAAGGUGGAAGGCAAUUUUGCCUUCAACUAGGGUGGCAACGCGGGUAACUCCCGUCCCUUUU